AAGAGAUCUACUUGAGUGGUUCAGUGGUUGGAUGGUCUUGAACCUGGUCAGCAUGGAUAUGGUAUUAAUGAAGGUGAUAGGGCAGAAAGUGGUGACCAGUUAAGUGAUCAGGAUGAAAGUGACGAGGACGAAAUCACCCAUGCUGUGCCAUUCAAGUGCAUUGGUGCUGUUCAUGAGAAACAUUACCAAGAUAAUUUGUAACAGGCAUGCCUUGCAAUUCAUGGACAAGAUAAACCAGCGAAUGUAAGAAUACGUCCAAAGCCAUUGAAUCCAAUGGACCCAGGUGCAAUAGCAAUUGAUGUA